GAUGAAGAACGUAGUGAAAUGCGAUAAGUAAUGUGAGUUGCAGAAUUCAGUGAAUCAUCGAAUCUUUGAACGCACAUUGCGCCCGCCAGUAUUCUGGCGGGCAUGCCUGUUCGAGCGUCAUUUCAACCAUCAAGCCCCCGGGCUUGUGUUGGGGACCUGCGGCUGCCGCAGGCCCUGAAAAGCAGUGGCGGGCUCGCUGUCACACCGAGCGUAGUAGAUUUUAUCUCGCUCUGGGCGUGCUGCGGGUUCCGGCCGUUAAACCACCCUUUUAACCCAAGGUUGACCUCGGAUCAGGUAGGAAGACCCGCUGAACUUAAGCAUAUCAAUAAGCGGAGGA
rnacentral:misc_RNA from 1 species